rnacentral:rRNA from 1 species
GACGAACGCUGGCGGCGUGCUUAACACAUGCAAGUCGAACGGAAAGGCCCUGCUUUUGUGGGGUGCUCGAGUGGCGAACGGGUGAGUAACACGUGAGUAACCUGCCCUUGACUUUGGGAUAACUUCAGGAAACUGGGGCUAAUACCGGAUAGGAGCUCCUGCUGCAUGGUGGGGGUUGGAAAGUUUCGGCGGGUGGGGAUGGACUCGCGGCUUAUCAGCUUGUUGGUGGGGGAGUGGCUUACCAAGGCUUUGACGGGUAGCCGGCCUGAGAGGGUGACCGGCCACAUUGGGACUGAGAUACGGCCCAGACUCCUACGGGAGGCAGCAGUGGGGAAUAUUGCACAAUGGGCGGAAGCCUGAUGCAGCAACGCCGCGUGUGGGAUGACGGCCUUCGGGUUGUAAACCGCUUUCGCCUGUGACGAAGCGUGAGUGACGGUAAUGGGUAAAGAAGCACCGGCUAACUACGUG